GCCUCUGCCCCACAGUGGCCCCUCCGGGCCCAGCUCGUGCCUCGGCUUGGCCGCCUCAGGCCCAGCUCCUGCCUGUGGGCGGCCUCUCUCCAGACCCGGCUCUCGCCUCCCGGCAUCCUCUCCAGGCCCAGAGCUGUUUCCAGUUGCUAGACCAUUUUUGUGCCUGCCUCGUUGCAGCAUCUCCAAGCCCAGCUUUUGCUUUUCUGCAGUUUCUUGAGGCCGAACUCCAUUUUUCGAAUGGCUUAUUUAGGCCCAGCUCUUGCGUUUGCAUUGUCCCUUCAGGCCCAGAACUUUCUCACGUCAUCGUCACCAGGCCUAGCUUCUGCAUCUGGUCAGCCUUUUAAGGCCCAGCUUUUGCCUCAUAAACUCAGCUCCUGUUUAAUGGCGGCCUCCCAGGUCCCACCUUCUGCCUUCCUGUGUCCACUCCAGGCCCAGCUACUGCCUUGGUGCUCUUUUUAAGUCAAUAAUUUUUUCCAGUCGACCUCUCCAGGCCCAACUUGUACCUCUGAGUGUCCUCUAGGAUCUCAGCUUCUGCCUAACAAUGACCUCUUUAGACUCAGCUCAUUUUCACUGCUACAUCUUCAAGCCAUUCUCCUGCCUCUUGGCAACCUCUAGUGGCCCAGCUUCUGCCUCACAGCAGCCUCUCCAUGCAUGCCUAGCUCCUGCCUCUUUAGGGAACUUACAGGCCUAAAACUUUCUUAAUUUGGGCUUCUCAGGCCCAGCUCCUGCCUUCUGUUGGCCUCUACAGGCCUGGCAUCAUCCUUUCAACAGCCUCUUUAGGCCCGGCCUCUCCAGGACCAAAACAUCCUUAAGUCAACCUCACCAGGCCCGGCUCCUGUCUCCUUGCGGCCUCCAGAGGCCGAGCUUUUGCCUGCCAAUGGCCUCUCUAGCCCCAGCUUUUGCCUGCCAAUGGCCUCUCUAGCCCCAGCUUCUGCCUUUCAUCGGUCUCUCCAGGCUUAGCUCCUUUCUCUUCACGGCCUCUGCAGGCCUAAAACUUCCUCAAUUUGGCAUCUCCAGGCCCAGCUCCUGCCUCCAGGCCGCCUCUGCAGGCCUAUCUCAAGCCUUACAACAGCCUCUUUACCCCCAGCUCCUUUCUCCGACUUGUCUCUCCAGGCCUAGAACUUCCUCAUGUUUACCUCACCAGGCCCACCUCCUGCCUUCCAGUAGCGUCUACAAGUUUGGCUCCUGCCUCCCAUGGAUCUCUCCAGGCCCCAAACUUUCUCAAGUCAACCUCACCAGGCCCGGCUUCUCCCUUUCAUCAGCCUUCCAAAGGCCAGCUUUUGCUUCAUGUCUGCCUUCCGAGUCCCAGCUCCUGUUUUAUGGCAGCCUCCUGAGGCCCAGCUCCUGCCUCCUAGUGGCCUCUUUUGGCCCAACUCUUUCCUCACCAGGGCCUUCCAGACCACGUUCCUGCCUUUUAGCAGCCACUACAGGCCCAGCUUUGCGUCCUUUCAAGAGUCCUGCCUCACAGUGGCCUCCCAAGGGCAACUUUCUGCCUCAUGUCAGCCUCUUGUGCCCUGGUCCUGCUUCCUGGUAGACUCUGCAGGCCCUGCUCCUGCCUUACGUUGCCCCUUUUAUAAAGAUCCAGUUCCUGCCUCCUGGCUGCCUCUAUGAGCCCAAAUCCUGCCUAACAACAACCUGUUUUUGCCCAGCUCCUGCUUCCUGGCAGCCUCCUUAGGCCAAAAAUUUCCUUCAGUUGACCUCUCCAGGCCCAGCUCCUGCCUCUCAGCACCCUCUUUAG
rnacentral:lncRNA from 1 species